GGGACACGUGAUAUCCUGUCUGAAUAUGGGGGGACCAUCCUCCAAGGCUAAAUACUACUGACUGACCGAUAGUGAACCAGUACCGUGAGGGAAAGGCGAAAAGAACCCCUGUGAGGGGAGUGAAAUAGAACCUGAAACCGUGUACGUACAAGCAGUAGGAGCAGGCUUUGUCCUGUGACUGCGUACCUUUUGUAUAAUGGGUCAGCGACUUAUAUUCAGUGGCAAGGUUAACCAUCUAGGGGAGCCGUAGGGAAACCGAGUCUUAACUGGGCGUUCAGUCUCUGGAUAUAGACCCGAAACCAGGUGAUCUAGCCAUGGGCAGGUUGAAGGUUGAGUAACAUCAACUGGAGGACCGAACCGACUAAUGUUGAAAAAUUAGCGGAUGACUUGUGGCUAGGGGUGAAAGGCCAAUCAAACCUGGAGAUAGCUGGUUCUCCCCGAAAGCUAUUUAGGUAGCGCCUCGGACGAAUACUACUGGGGGUAGAGCACUGUUAAGGCUAGGGGGUCAUCCCGACUUACCAACCCUUUGCAAACUCCGAAUACCAGUAAGUACUAUCCGGGAGACACACGGCGGGUGCUAACGUCCGUCGUGGAGAGGGAAACAACCCAGACCGCCAGCUAAGGUCCCAAAUUACUACUAAGUGGGAAACGAUGUGGGAAGGCUCAGACAGCCAGGAUGUUGGCUUAGAAGCAGCCAUCAUUUAAAGAAAGCGUAAUAGCUCACUGGUCGAGUCGGCCUGCGCGGAAGAUGUAACGGGGCUAAGUAGUAAACCGAAGCUGCGGCAAUAUACUUUUGUAUAUUGGGUAGGGGAGCGUUCUGUAAGCGGUUGAAGGUGUGUGGUAACGCAUGCUGGACGUAUCAGAAGUGCGAAUGCUGACAUGAGUAACGAUAAAGGGGGUGAAAAACCUCCUCGCCGGAAGACCAAGGGUUCCUGUCCAACGUUAAUCGGGGCAGGGUAAGUCGACCCCUAAGGCGAGGCCGAAAGGCGUAGUCGAUGGGAAACGGGUUAAUAUUCCCGUACUUCUUACAAUUGCGAUGGGGGGACGGAGAAGGCUAGGUGGGCCUGGCGACGGUUGUCCAGGUUCAAGUGCGUAGGCUGAGAGAUUAGGUAAAUCCGGUUUCUCUUAAGGCUGAGACACGACGUCGAGCACCUACGGGUGUGAAGUCAUUGAUGCCAUGCUUCCAGGAAAAGCCUCUAAGCUUCAGAUUGUAAGGAAUCGUACCCCAAACCGACACAGGUGGUCGGGUAGAGAAUACCAAGGCGCUUGAGAGAACUCGGGUGAAGGAACUAGGCAAAAUGGUACCGUAACUUCGGGAGAAGGUAC
rnacentral:rRNA from 1 species